rnacentral:rRNA from 1 species
AUGUAUAACCUUCCUCCUUGGAUGUGCAUGAAGCAGAAGUUCAUUAUGAUGCCAGUUCUCAUCCAAGACCCUAAGCAACCUGGCAACAACAUAGAUGUGUACCUAAGGCCAUUAGUUGAAGAACUUUUACAGUUGUGGAAUGGAAACGGUGUACGUGCAUGGGAUGAGCACAGACAGGAGGAAUUUAACCUGCACGCGUUGCUGUUUGUAACCAUCAACGAUUGGCACGCUCUCAGUAACCUUUCAGGACAGACAAACAAGGGAUACCACGCAUGCACGCACUGUUUAGCUGACACCGAAAAUAUAUACCUGGACAAAUGCAGGAAGAAUGUGUACCUGGGUGAUCGUCGAUUUCUUCCGACCAACCAUCAAUGCCGAAAGAAAGGCAAGCAUUUCAAAGGCAAGGCAUAUCACCGGAAGAAGCCCAUGAUACGUCUCCAACGUAUCUAUAAUUUUUGA